ACGAACGCUGGCGGCGUGCUUAACACAUGCAAGUCGAACGGAAAGGCCCUGCUUUUGUGGGGUGCUCGAGUGGCGAACGGGUGAGUAACACGUGAGUAACCUGCCCUUGACUUUGGGAUAACUUCAGGAAACUGGGGCUAAUACCGGAUAGGAGCUCCUGCUGCAUGGUGGGGGUUGGAAAGUUUCGGCGGUUGGGGAUGGACUCGCGGCUUAUCAGCUUGUUUGUGGGGUAGUGGCUUACCAAGGCUUUGACGGGUAGCCGGCCUGAGAGGGUGACCGGCCACAUUGGGACUGAGAUACGGCCCAGACGCCUACGGGAGGCAGCAGUGGGGAAUAUUGCACAAUGGGCGGAAGCCUGAUGCAGCAACGCCGCGUGCGGGAUGACGGCCUUCGGGUUGUAAACCGCUUUCGCCUGUGACGAAGCGUGAGUGACGGUAAUGGGUAAAGAAGCACCGGCUAACUACGUG
rnacentral:rRNA from 1 species